AUUAAAUGCCUUGCAGAUGCUGACAUCUGGCAUCAUGAAACUUCACAUGUCCAUUAUAGUGAUGGUCUGGUCUGGUAUCCUGGGCUGCACUUGGGCUUAGAUCUUCACAUCUGUUGGACACUUAGCUGACUUAAUUUCUAUGGAAAAACAACUGGUCGAGCCCCUGAAAGAAUAUAUCCUUUUGGAUGAAGCCAAAAUGUCUAUAAUGAAAAAUCUCAUAGCUGGGCUGAGAAAAGAGAUGCACUGAACCUUGUAAUACCUGAAGACAAGGAAGACUUGGGAAAGUUAGUGGAUGUGUACAAGGUGCUAAAAUGUCUAAAUCAAGUUGAGUCA